rnacentral:tRNA from 5 species
GCGGAUAUGGUCGAAUGGUAAAA